GCAAGAGUUUUAUUUUGGCUUUGGUCUCAUUGUGGCAUCUGAACACAUAGAGACUGGUGUUUAGUAGUCAUCUCCUACCACUGAUAACCUCAGACUGACCAGUACAGGCUUAAGGUUGUUAAACAGGCCUGGGAAAAACUAAAACAUGAUGGACAAUGAAAUGGCUGUGCGUGUGGAUCAUGCCAUCACAAUGGAUGAUCAGUACUCAAGAAUCUCCACUAUGUUGACCAUGGGACCUCAGGAGUGCAAACCUCCGCAGAUCAUACAGGAGUUUAAUCCUCAGGGGACCAAACAACAGUUGUGGAAACCUCAGGGAAUGAAACAACCGGUGUGCAUGUGCAAACCUCAGGAGAUCAAACAGGAGUUCAACCCUAUGGGGGCCAAACAACAGUUGUGCAAACCUCAGAAGACCAAAUUAUGGACUACCUCCACGGAGAUGGCGACUGACUUAACACCCCGUGAAAAAUACGAUGAGCUUAUCACCACGAACAUGGAAUAUGGGUGGUAUGUCACCAAGCAGAACACAGCAGCAGCUGCAGCCCAAAAUAAAUUCGGAAGGCGGGGCACUUUUGUUACCAAGCGCAAAAUCAGGCCUAAAUUAAUGAUUCCUUAUCUUGGUUGGUAAGGAAGGGGUGAUGGGUCUGUAGUAAUACAUUUUAAUGGAUUUACGCCAUGGUCUACAUUUUUCUCCUGAUGAGAUGAUUUGACAGGCCAGCCCGCCAGGUCAUGUGUGCAUGUGCCUGUGCACAGGAUAACAACAACAGUCACCCAGUAUUACACAAAAAAAGAGCAAAGGAUCACAAUUUCUAAUUCCUGUAAUGCGGAAAUAAGUCUUGGUGCAACUGCAAACAACACGCUACCUCAUUCACCAUUUAAGGAAACACCACGCUUAUCAGUGAAAAGAGCAAAGCUACUACGAGGAAAAUGAUGGAGUUCACGGCUUUGGAUAUGAAGAAAAAUCUGCCACUAAUGAACAAGUGACUAUAAAAGAAUGAAAACAACUAACCUGUGUCAUGUUCAUUCUGUCAUUUCCUGUUGACUUAUGAAAAUGUUACACAUGACGCACUUUAUUAUUUCUGUCGAAUGUUUGACUUUUAGGAGCUUUUAUCCUGUAAGCUGUUGUAAGUGUUUUUUAGAUUAAUAGUUUUACAUUUAAAUAUCCACAAAGCUGAUUUUUUUGAAUUUUUGCUCUACAAGGAAACCUAAUACUCAGGACACAAUCCGUAUACCCUUUGUUCUUUGGGUAUUCCGUUAAAAUCAAAUCAAAAUAACAAAUAAAAAGGGUGG
rnacentral:lncRNA from 1 species